CCGAGUUUACAACUCCCAAACCCCUGUGAACAUACCUAUACGUUGCCUCGGCGGAUCAGCCCGCGCCCCGUAAAAAGGGACGGCCCGCCAGAGGACCCCUAAACUCUGUUUCUAUAUGUAACUUCUGAGUAAAACCAUAAAUAAAUCA
rnacentral:misc_RNA from 1 species